rnacentral:misc_RNA from 1 species
GAUGAAGAACGCAGCGAAAUGCGAUAAGUAAUGUGAAUUGCAGAAUUCAGUGAAUCAUCGAAUCUUUGAACGCACAUUGCGCCCCCCGGUAUUCCGAGGGGCAUGCCUGUUCGAGCGUCAUUUCAACCAUCAAGCCCCAGCGCUUGUGUUGGGGGCCUGCGGCUGCCGCAGCCCCCUAAAAGCAGUGGCGGGCUCGCUAUCACACCGAGUGCAGUAGUUCAUCUUCUCUCCGGUCUUGUGAGGCGGGUUCCGGCCGUGAAACACCCCACUACAUUCAAGGUUGACCUCGGAUCAGGUAGGAAUACCCGCUGAACUUAAGCAUAUCAAUAAGCGGAGGA